rnacentral:rRNA from 1 species
AGCGAACGCUGGCGGCAGGCCUAACACAUGCAAGUCGAACGAACCCUUCGGGGUUAGUGGCGGACGGGUGAGUAACACGUGGGAACGUGCCUUUAGGUUCGGAAUAACUCAGGGAAACUUGUGCUAAUACCGAGUGUGCCCUUCGGGGGAAAGAUUUAUCGCCUUUAGAGCGGCCCGCGUCUGAUUAGCUAGUUGGUGAGGUAAUGGCUCACCAAGGCUACGAUCAGUAGCUGGUCUGAGAGGAUGACCAGCCACAUUGGGACUGAGACACGGCCCAAACUCCUACGGGAGGCAGCAGUGGGGAAUCUUGCGCAAUGGGCGAAAGCCUGACGCAGCCAUGCCGCGUGGAUGAUGAAAGUCUUAGGAUUGUAAAAUCCUUUCACCGGUGAAGAUAAUGACUGUAGCCGGAGAAGAAGCCCCGGCUAACUUCGUGCCAGCAGCCGCAGUAAUAC